CAUAGCCGCGGGAACACGUAGGGUGCAAGCGUUAAUCGGAAUUACUGGGCGUAAAGCGUGCGCAGGCGGUUCUAUAAGACAGAUGUGAAAUCCCCGGGCUCAACCUGGGAACUGCAUUUGUGACUGUAGAGCUGGAGUACGGCAGAGGGGGAUGGAAUUCCGCGUGUAGCAGUGAAAUGCGUAGAUAUGCGGAGGAACACCGAUGGCGAAGGCAAUCCCCUGGGCCUGUACUGACGCUCAUGCACGAAAGCGUGGGGAGCAAACAGGAUUAGAUACCCGAGUAGUCCCUGUCUCUUAUACA
rnacentral:rRNA from 1 species